AAUUCGGUCGUCCAAUGGAAGGACGCUCGAUUCGCAUUCGAGAUAUGUGGGUUCAAGUCCCGCCCGCAUUCC
rnacentral:tRNA from 1 species